CAACGCCGCGUGAGCGAUGAAGGCCUUCGGGUUGUAAAGCUCUGUCCUGAGGGACGAUAAUGUCGGUGCCGGAUGCCCAGCGACGGACGGUACCGGGCGAGGAACCCCCGGCUAACUACGUGCCAUCAGCCGCUGUAAUACGUAGGGGGCAAGCGUUUGCGUGAAUGCAGUUUUAUGUGAGUGUGUAAGGCUUUUGUUCAGUCUGAUUGACCUUUUCAAACUGGAAAUCUAAAUUGCAGAAAAGAAAAAGGGAAUUCCAUGUGUACGAUUGAAAUGGAAUUCCUUGUGGAGAAACACAAUUGGCAAAGGCGCUUUCCUGGACUGUGACUGACGCUGAGGCCCAAAACCGUGGGGAGCAAUGAGGCUUAAUACCGUGGGGGAGCAAACAGGAUUAGAUACCCUGGUAGUCA
rnacentral:rRNA from 1 species